rnacentral:pre_miRNA from 12 species
GGACUUAGGGCAUGAUCCAGAGCCCAUUGUAGUCAAUGGGAGACUUUUUCCAUUGACUUCAUCGGGGUUUGGAUCAGGCCUUUACUACC